rnacentral:rRNA from 1 species
UGGCGAGUUUGAUCCUGGCUCAGAGCGAACGCUGGCGGCGUACUUAACACAUGCAAGUCGAACGAGGAUCACGGUGUGAGCAAUCAUAUUGUGGUCCGAGUGGCGCACGGGUGAAUAACACGUGGGUAACCUGCCCUUGAGCCUGGGAUACCCCCUCGAAAGGGGGGCUAAUACCGGAUACGUUCCUUGGGUCGACAGAUCCGGGGAGGAAAGGUGGCGCAAGCUGCCGCUCUUGGAGGGGCUCGCGGCCUAUCAGCUAGUUGGCGGGGUAANNGAGGGGGCAAGCGUUGCUCGGAAUUACUGGGCGUAAAGGGCGCGUAGGCGGGAUGGCAAGUCGGUCGUGAAAUCCUUCGGCUCAACCGAAGAAGGGCGAUCGAUACUGCUGUUCUUGAGGAUUGCAGAGGAGACUGGAAUUCCCGGUGUAGCGGUGAAAUGUGUAGAGAUCGGGAGGAACACCGGUGGCGAAGGCGGGUCUCUGGGCAAUUCCUGACGCUGAGGCGCGAAAGCGUGGGGAGCAAACGGGAUUAGAUACCCCGGUAGUCCAUUCCGUAAACGAUGGGCACUAGGUGUAGAGGGUUUCAACCCCUUCUGUGCCGAAGCUAACGCAUUAAGUGCCCCGCCUGGGGAGUA